GACGUAGGGUCCAAGCGUUGUCCGGAUUUACUGGGCGUAAAGAGCGCGUAGGCGGCUCGGUAAGUGUGAAGUGAAAUCUCUAGGGUUCAACCCAGAAACUGCUUUACAUACUGCCAAGCUGGAGUGAUGAAGAGGUUUGUGGAAUUCCUGGUGUAGCGGUGAAAUGCGCAGAUAUCAGGAAGAACACCCGUGGCGAAGGCGGCUCUCUGGGACGGUACUGACGCUGAGACGCGAAAGCGUGGGGAGCGAACAGG
rnacentral:rRNA from 1 species